rnacentral:rRNA from 1 species
UACGUAGGGGGCAAGCGUUGUCCGGAAUCAUUGGGCGUAAAGAGCGUGUAGGCGGCUCGAUAAGUCUGCUGUGAAAGUCCAGGGCUCAACCCUGGAAGGCCGGUGGAAACUGUCGGGCUAGAGUCCGGAAGAGGCGAGUGGAAUUCCCGGUGUAGCGGUGAAAUGCGCAGAUAUCGGGAGGAACACCAAUGGCGAAGGCAGCUCGCUGAGACGGUACUGACGCUGAGACGCGAAAGCGUGGGGAGCAAACAGG